UGCAACAUGAGUUUUUAUUUUCAAAUCAUGGUCAAUCCAAUGUAUGUCCAGGCACAUCAUUUUAAAUACAAACGGACCUGUAGAUAAACCUAGAUUACAUCCGCUCACAACUGACACUCAUCUAGACUGAUAUGCAUCCAAGCACACACCAACAACCACCUUAUAUGCAUGUUGACUCUGAAAUUCAUGAGCGACAAAACAUUAUUCACACUCAGUUUGAAAAUGUUGCUCAUCCUGAUUGAACAACUUGAAGAUAGACCUGACGCAUUUGAGAAAUUUGUAGUGGCAAGUUUCAAUCCCUCAGAAGUUUAUUGCUUUAGUGGUUGGGAACAACAACAUAAACAAGGUGACAGACAUCAAUAUUCAACACUAGAGCUCACUCCCACAGCCACCAGCCACCAAUGCCAUGAUACCAAGAAACCAAGCCAUUUUUUCUUUGUGUACAAGAACUAUCACCAGCCAUUUCGUUUUCCACACUUCCACAGCUACCAGCCAACAAAGAAAAACACAAGCCCGCCUCAUCCUGCCUUUUUACACAAUAAUGCUUCCACAACUCAGCCCUUCGGCGCCUUGCCACUUUUGGGGUAACCACGUCGGCAUCGUCAAUCUCUCACUGAUCCAUCUGCAUGCAACAGGUCAACAACAGUUUAACACAUGACAAAUCACAAGGGGCCCAAUAAGGGAAAACUAGACAAACAAAAUUAAUUCUGCUGGCUAUUUCGAGUUUCGACAACAGCAAGAGACAAAGCACCAGCCACCUACAUCACAUUCGGCAAAUACUGGAAGAAAUGCUAAAAAACAUAAAAUGUUUGCUGAUUCAAAGAAAAGUUCAUGAUUUUAAAAACAAAUGUUCGGGAAAUAAAAAAAGGUUCAUGAUUUUGAAAAAUGUUUACGUAUUAUUUUUUAAGAAUUUUAAAAAUGUUAAAAAAAUAUCUUAAAAAGUUUGUGAAUUACAAAAAAUAUCAUCGAUUCAAUAAAUGAAAAAUGUCCAUGAAUUUGAAAUAAAACCCUGCAUUUAACAAAAAUGUUCAUCAAACAAAGUUCAUGAAUUCCAAAAAAUGUUGGCUGAUUCAAAAAAUGUACCCAGCGGCGGAGGCCGGGGACCGCUGCUGUCGGGCAAGCUGCUUGGUGACGUAGAAGUAGGGCGGCUGAUAUUAUUCCGGUCAGGACGUGUGCAUGGCCGGCCGCGGCCGCGGCACCCCGCAUCCCCGCACCACAUGCCCCCUACACCCCGUUCCCAGUCCCGGCCGCCACCCCGCCACCCUUAUUGCUGGCCUCUUGAUCCUUUGCCUUGGUUUUUAGGCGACAACCUUGUUGUGCUGUCGAUUUGAUCCUCCAUGCCUCUGCUUUAUGUGGAUCCUCCACUUCCGCCAGUCCGGCAGCUCGUCGAGUAGGUCCAUGCGGCAGUGGAAGCGAAAAACACGGGAAUUGUGUUGCAGAGGGGCAGUGAUUGGAGCAGAGAGGGUGGAGAAAGGGGGGAUUAUGCGGAAACAAUGUGUCCGCUCCAAAUACACGGGCUCCGCCUCGUUUUGCUGCCAGGGGUGUCGGAGUCCUAUGUAGCGGAUGUUCGGACUCCCGCAAAGGCACCCUUGUUUGCUUCCGGUUUGCGGCAUUUCGGACAACCAGGGCGGUCCUUGGUCCGAUGAGGUACCGUGUUGGAUGGCAAAGUGCGCCCGCACCGCUCGGCCCCGAUGGUUGUGGAUGGUUUGAGGGUCCGUGUUGAAGUGUUUCUACUGGUUUUGUUGUAAGAGUAGUUCUUAGGGGUAAGUGUUGAGUGGAAUCCUCGCUCACCUCUUUUAGAGUUUGACCAUGUUGUAAUACUAUUAGGUUUCAUUUUCGGGACGGGGAUGGUGCCCUUUUCCUCUAAAAAAACAUCACAAUCUGCAAGUACAGCAAAGCGGCAUGACCUUACGUCCUUACCCAUACUGGAGGCUGUCACUGUGAGCUUGGGAGUGAAAUGCAUGGAAGCCAGACAACCAUGUUUUAAGUAGUUCUCCGAUUUUGGAACAACAUGCAAUCCAACGGCAGUUGCAAUCGGGCGCUAGGUGUCGAUCGUUCGAUCUUCAACAUCAUACAAAAAUCAGAUGAUAAUUGUGGUACGGGUCUCUAGUUUUUCUUUGAAACUAUUUCAUGUACACAGCACUUGUCCGAUUUUUGUACGACAUGCAAUCCGAAGGCGUGUUGCAAUCUGGUGCUAGGUGACGAUGGUGAUUGUCAGGACCCCGAUUCCAAGUCACAUCGAUCUAGCCGGUAACACCUCAUAUCACUUUGCGGUCUCACGCACGGUAUUCCCACGGGUGUCGCCUUACCAUGGCCCGGGACUGUUUGCGUCUUUUGGCUCACAUAUAUGAUAGUGUCGCUACCAUCCAUAUGACAGAGAACCCGGGCCGACAUGACUAGUCGUGAACCCAAAGUGGCACUAACUUACGGGGACAGGCAUACAUGAAUCAACAUCGAGCAUGUCGGUCAGCAGCGUUCGAAUCCGAGUGGAGCGUGGAAGCAGCAUUUACAGAAUGACUUAGAGAUUUGUGAAGUACAGACCCGUUGACUGAAACCUCUCUCACAAGCAAAACAUGAUCAAACCCCAUAACUCGUUGAGUCUUAAUCACAUGAUGAUGUGAACUAGUUUAAUGCCACUAGUAAACUCUAUGGAUGUUGGUCACAUGGCGAUGUGACGUGUGAAUGUUAAUCACAUGACGAUGUGAACUAGAUUAUUGACUCUAGUGCAAGUGGGAGACUGUUGAAAAUAUGCCCUAGAGGCAAUAAUAAAUUAGUUAUUAUUAUAUUUCCUUGUUCAUGAUAAUCGUUUAUUAUCCAUGCUAUAAUUGUGUUGAUAGGAAACUCAGAUACGUGUGUGGAUACAUAGACAACACCAUGUCCCUAGUAAGCCUCUAGUUGACUAGCUCGUUGAUCAACAGAUGGUUACGGUUUCCUGACCAUGGACAUUGGAUGUCGUUGAUAACGGGAUCACAUCAUUAGGAGAAUGAUGUGAUGGACAAGAACCAAUCCUAAGCCUAGCACAAAGAUCGUGUAGUUCGUAUGCUAAAGCUUUUCUAAUGUCAAGUAUCCUUGAGAAAGCAAAGUUGAAAGAUGAUGGUAGCAAUUACACGGACUGGGUCCGUAACUUGAGGAUUAUCCUCAUUGAUGCACAGAAGAAUUACGUCCUGGAAGCACCGCUGGGUGCCAGGCCUGCUGCAGGAGCAACACCAGAUGUUAUGAACGUCUGGCAGAGCAAAGCUGAUGACUACUCAAUAGUUCAGUGUGCCAUGCUUUACGGCUUAGAACCGGGUCUCCAACGAAGUCCUAAGUCACACGCGCAUCCCGCACGCGUAUGGAUCACCCUUUCUACUAUAUAUAGAGACGAUCUUAACUAGAACAAGAGCCCCGCUGCUGCCACGGAUCGAUGAGGUGGCGCAAGCCUGCAUCUCCGGCGGGCAUCUCUAGGGUGCUUUAAUGACCUAACAAUGAUGACGGUCUGCUUCGUUUCGUUUCUAGUGAAGACUGUCAUUACACGGCGGCUCAAGGACCACAUGCAUAUGCAAUUCCAACCGGAUCAACUUGUUUGAUCGCUCCCUGGUGCUGCUUUGUCAUUUCAUCAUUAUUCAAAUUCUAACAAAAAAGAAGAAAGGCGCUAGAGCUUGUAUGCAUUUACACUCGAAUCAACGCAUACGCAUUGCAGACUACAAUUAUCACUAAGCAUGCAACAUGAGUUUUUAUUUUCAAAUCAUGGUCAAUUCAAUGUAUAUCCAGGCACAUCGUUUUAAAUACAAACGGACCUGUAGAUAAACCUAGAUUACAUCCGCUCACAACUGACACUCAUCUAGACUGAUAUGCAUCCAAGCACACACCAACAACCACCUUAUAUGCAUGUUGACUCUGAAAUUCAUGAGCGGCAAAACAUUAUUCACACUCAGUUUGAAAAUGUUGCUCAUCCUGAUUGAACAACUUGAAGAUAGACCUGACGCAUUUGAGAAAUUUGUAGUGGCAAGUUUCAAUCCCUCAGAAGUUUAUUGCUUUAGUGGUUGGGAACAACAACAUAAACAAGGUGACAGACAUCAAUAUUCAACACUAGAGCUCACUCCCACAGCCACCAGCCACCAAUGCCAUGAUACCAAGAAACCAAGCCAUUUUUUCUUUGUGUACAAGAACUAUCACCAGCCAUUUCGUUUUCCACACUUCCACAGCUACCAGCCAACAAAGAAAAACACAAGCCCGCCUCAUCCUGCCUUUUUACACAAUAAUGCUUCCACAACUCAGCCCUUCGGCGCCUUGCCACUUUUGGGGUAACCACGUCGGCAUCGUCAAUCUCUCACUGAUCCAUCUGCAUGCAACAAGUCAACAACAGUUUAACACAUGACAAAUCACAAGGGGCCCAAUAAGGGAAAACUAGCCAAACAAAAUUAAUUCUGCUGGCUAUUUCGAGUUUCGACAACAGCAAGAGACAAAGCACCAGCCACCUACAUCACAUUCGGCAAAUACUGGAAGAAAUGCUAAAAAACAUAAAAUGUUUGCUGAUUCAAAUAAAAGUUCAUGAUUUUAAAAACAAAUGUUCGGGAAAUAAAAAAAGGUUCAUGAUUUUGAAAAAUGUUUACGUAUUAUUUUUUAAGAAUUUUAAAAAUGUUAAAAAAAUAUCUUAAAAAGUUUGUGAAUUACAAAAAAUAUCGUCGAUUCAAUAAAUGUCCGAUGAUUAAAAAAAUGUCCAUGAAUUUGAAAUAAAACCCUGCAUUUAACAAAUAUGUUCAUCAAACAAAGUUCAUGAAUUCCAAAAAAUGUUGGCUGAUUCAAAAAAUGUACCCAGCGGCGGAGGCCGGGGACCGCUGCUGUCGGCCAAGCUGCUUGGUGACGGAGAAGUAGGGCGGCUGAUAUUAUUCCGGUCAGGACGUGUGCAUGGCCGGCCGCGGCCGCGGCACCCCGCAUCCCCGCACCACAUGCCCCCUACACCCCGUUCCCAGUCCCGGCCGCCACCCCGCCACCCUUAUUGCUGGCCUCUUGAUCCUUUGCCUUGGUUUUUAGGCGACAACCUUGUUGUGUUGUCGAUUUGAUCCUCCAUGCCUCUGCUUUAUGUGGAUCCUCCACUUCCGCCAGUCCGGCAGCUCGUCGAGUAGGUCCAUGCGGCAGUGGAAGCAAAAAACACGGGAAUUGUGUUGCAGAGGGGCAGUGAUUGGAGCAGAGAGGGUGGAGAAAGGGGGGAUUAUGCGGAAACAAUGUGUCCGCUCCAAAUACACGGGCUCCGCCUCGUUUUGCUGCCAGGGGUGUCGGAGUCCUAUGUAGCGGAUGUUCGGACUCCCGCAAAGGCACCCUUGUUUGCUUCCGGUUUGCGGCAUUUCGGACAACCAGGGCGGUCCUUGGUCCGAUGAGGUACCGUGUUGGAUGGCAAAGUGCGCCCGCACCGCUCGGCCCCGAUGGUUGUGGAUGGUUUGAGGGUCCGUGUUGAAGUGUUUCUACUGGUUUUGUUGUAAGAGUACUUCUUAGGGGUAAGUGUUGAGUGGAAUCCUCGCUCACCUCUUUUAGAGUUUGACCAUGUUGUAAUACUAUUAGGUUUCAUUUUCGGGACGGGGUUGGUGCCCUUUUCCUCUACAAAAACAUCACAAUCUGCAAGUACAGCAAAGCGGCAUGACCUUACGUCCUUACCCAUACUGGAGGCUGUCACUGUGAGCUUGGGAGUGAAAUGCAUGGAAACCAGACAACCAUGUUUUAAGUAGUUCUCCGAUUUUGGAACAACAUGCAAUCCAACGGCAGUUGCAAUCGGGCGCUAGGUGUCGAUGGUUCGAUCUUCAACAUCAUACAAAAAUCAGAUGAUAAUUGUGGUACGGGUCUCUAGUUUUUCUUUGAAACUAUUUCAUGUACACAGCACUUGUCUGAUUUUUGUACGACAUGCAAUCCGAAGGCGUGUUGCAAUCUGGUGCUAGGUGACGAUGGUGAUUGUCAGGACCCCGAUUCCAAGUCACAUCGAUCUAGCCGGUAACACCUCAUACCAUUUUGCGGUCUCACGCACGGUAUUCCCACGGGUGUCGCCUUACCAUGGCCCGGGACUGUUUGCGUCUUUUGGCUCACAUAUAUGAUAGUGUCGCUACCAUCCAUAUGACAGAGAACCCGGGCCGACAUGACUAGUCGUGAACCCAAAGUGGCACUAACUUACGGGGACAGGCAUACAUGAAUCAACAUCGAGCAUGUCGGUCAGCAGCGUUUGAAUCCGAGUGGAGCGUGGAAGCAGCAUUUACAGAAUGACCUAGAGAUUUGUGAAGUACAGACCUGUUGACUGAAACCUCUCUCACAAGCAAAACAUGAUCAAACCCCAUAACUCGUUGAGUCUUAAUCACAUGAUGAUGUGAACUAGUUUAAUGACACUAGUAAACUCUAUGGAUGUUGGUCACAUGGCGAUGUGACGUGUGAAUGUUAAUCACAUGACGAUGUGAACUAGAUUAUUGACUCUAGUGCAAGUGGGAGACUGUUGGAAAUAUGCCCUAGAGGCAAUAAUAAAUUAGUUAUUAUUAUAUUUCCUUGUUCAUGAUAAUCGUUUAUUAUCCAUGCUAUAAUUGUGUUGAUAGGAAACUCAGAUACGUGUGUGGAUACAUAGACAACACCAUGUCCCUAGUAAGCCUCUAGUUGACUAGCUCGUUGAUCAACAGAUGGUUACGGUUUCCUGACCAUGGACAUUGGAUGUCGUUGAUAACGGGAUCACAUCAUUAGGAGAAUGAUGUGAUGGACAAGAACCAAUCCUAAGCCUAGCACAAAGAUCGUGUAGUUCGUAUGUUAAAGCUUUUCUAAUGUCAAGUAUCCUUGAGAAAGCAAAGUUGAAAGAUGAUGGUAGCAAUUACACGGACUGGGUCCGUAACUUGAGGAUUAUCCUCAUUGAUGCACAGAAGAAUUACGUCCUGGAAACACCGCUGGGUGCCAGGCCUGCUGCAGGAGCAACACCAGAUGUUAUGAACGUCUGGCAGAGCAAAGCUGAUGACUACUCAAUUGUUCAAUGUGCCAUGCUUUACGGCUUAGAACCGGGUCUUCAACGAAGUCCUAAGUCACACGCGCAUCCCGCACGCGGAUGGAUCACCCUUUCUACUAUAUAUAGAGACGGUCUUAACUAGAACAAGAGCCCCGCUGCUGCCACGGAUCGAUGAGGUGGCGCAAGCCUGCAUCUCCGGCAGGCAUCUCUAGGGUGCUUUAAUGACCUAACAAUGAUGACGGUCUGCUUCGUUUCGUUUCCAGUGAAGACAGUCAUUACACGGCGGCUCAAGGACCACAUGCAUAUGCAAUUCCAACCGGAUCAACUUGUUUGAUCGCUCCCUGGUGCUGCUUUGUCAUUUCAUCAUUAUUCAAAUUCUAACAAAAAAAGAAGAAAGGCGCUAGAGCUUGUAUGCAUUUACAAUCGAAUCAACGCAUACGCAUUGCACACUACAAUUAUCACUAAGCAUGCAACAUGAGUUUUUAUUUUCAAAUCAUGGUCAAUCCAAUGUAUGUCCAGGCACAUCGUUUUAAAUACAAACCGACCUGUAGAUAAACCUAGAUUACAUCCGCUCACAACUGACACUCAUCUAGACUGAUAUGCAUCCAAGCACACACCAACAACCACCUUAUAUGCAUGUUGACUCUGAAAUUCAUGAGCGACAAAACAUUAUUCACACUCAGUUUGAAAAUGUUGCUCAUCCUGAUUGAACAACUUGAAGAUAGACCUGACACAUUUGAGAAAUUUGUAGUGGCAAGUUUCAAUCCCUCAGAAGUUUAUUGCUUUAGUGGUUGGGAACAACAACAUAAACAAGGUGACAGACAUCAAUAUUCAACACUAGAGCUCACUCCCACAGCCACCAGCCACCAAUGCCAUGAUACCAAGAAACCAAGCCAUUUUUUCUUUGUGUACAAGAACUAUCACCAGCCAUUUCGUUUUCCACACUUCCACAGCUACCAGCCAACAAAGAAAAACACAAGCCCGCCUCAUCCUGCCUUUUUACACAAUAAUGCUUCCACAACUCAGCCCUUCGGCGCCUUGCCACUUUUGGGGUAACCACGUCGGCAUCGUCAAUCUCUCACUGAUCCAUCUGCAUGCAACAGGUCAACAACAGUUUAACACAUGACAAAUCACAAGGG
rnacentral:lncRNA from 1 species